GCCAUGGGAAAAAAAACCACAUGGAGGGAGAGGAAGAGGAGGGGAGGAAGGCCUAAGGGGGGAAAGACACUGAAAAACAGCUCCAGGAUCUGGGGAAUGGGAUGAACUUAAAAAAGCAGGUGUGAGGUUCUUUAGGAGAACAAACACAGAAGAACCUCUUUGCUGUUGCAAGGGGUUUUUAGCUGGUUUGAUUCAGCUCCCCAGGUGGUCACGGCUGGAUGUGCUUGGGUUCCUGUGGAGAAGCAAACACUAGGUAGGCUUGCACUGCACCCCGAGCCUGCCUGACAUCCCACUGCUCAACCCCUGGCCAGCUGCAGCCCCUCGGGGAAGGAAAGAUCACUCGGUGGGAUCCCCCUUGUGCUGCUGCCACGCCUGGCUUGGCUCCAAGGGCUGCGCUUCAGCACUCGGCCUGUGGACCUGAGGAGCAGGGAAGAUCCCAGUGCUGAGGGAGCCCUGCUGCACCUUCAUGGAAUAUCACCAGCUAGGCAACACUAUCCCAGAAAAAUGGGGGAUUUCCUGGCUGUAAAGAAUGGGAUUUUACACACUCA